rnacentral:rRNA from 1 species
CCUACGGGGGGCAGCAGUGAGGAAUAUUGGUCAAUGGGCGAGAGCCUGAACCAGCCAAGUCGCGUGAAGGAUGACGGCCCUACGGGUUGUAAACUUCUUUUGUCAGGGAGCAAUUGAGUCCACGUGUGGUCUUAGCGAGAGUACCUGAAGAAAAAGCAUCGGCUAACUCCGUGCCAGCAGCCGCGGUAAUACGGAGGAUUCAAGCGUUAUCCGGAUUUAUUGGGUUUAAAGGGUGCGUAGGCGGUUCGAUAAGUUAGAGGUGAAAUCCCGGGGCUCAACUCCGGCACUGCCUCUGAUACUGGCGGGCUAGAGUUUAGUUGCGGUAGGCGGAAUGUAUGGUGUAGCGGUGAAAUGCAUAGAGAUCAUACAGAACACCGAUUGCGAAGGCAGCUUACCAAACUACGACUGACGUUGAGGCACGAAAGCGUGGGGAGCAAACAGGAUUAGAUACCCCAGUAGUC